rnacentral:lncRNA from 1 species
GCAAUAUUGGGUGGUGAAUUUAGACUAUAGUUGAUUAAAUGGUGAAUUUAGGAUUUACUAAUUGCUAUAGGCUAUUAAUUGGUGAGGUAUGAUGUUUGACCCUUAGUCUAGGGCCUUGGUUAGCUUAUUUAUGGUCUCAUGACUAGUGUGAGAACACUAUAGUUAUUCUAUAAAGAAAUAAAUAGUAUGCUUCUCCGUCCUUAUGUGUGUUUUAACCUAUAUAAUGUCU